UCACUCUCUCUUUAAAAAAAAAAAAAAAAGAAAAGAAAAGAAAAUUCCCUGGAAGGAGAGAGCUCAAGUGGAAAGAAGGGGCUUAACCGCUACUGGCCUUCACUCGGCUUUGCCCUGACAGCUCCUGGCUGCGAUUGGCCUCCCCGCUGCCGUGGCCCAUCCACCUCCCACCACGUUCCCCACCUCCUCCUGGAGGAUUUUCCACAAGUGUGCAGCAGUACUUGAGAUCUCUGAGACCCUGAACCGACAUCCUCAUGGGCCUCUGAGGUGCCCCAAACCCAAACCCAAACCCAAACCCAAACCCAAACCCAAACGCAGAGGGCCAUGUGGAGCUGGCGGUGAGAUCUGCUACCUGUGCUUUCGGUAUUCUGGUGAAUUUAUGACUCAGUCGUGUGGCUUUGAGGUAUACUGUGCACACACCUUUUUAAAAGGCCAAAGUAUCUACGUAUGGAAGGCCCGUGCUGUCCUUCUCAAGCAAAUACCAAACGCCAUGCUCAGAUUGGGCUGCAGCGUGGCAUCUGCAAGUGGCUCUGCCAACCUGUAUGAUUUUCCUUCUCUCGUCCGUUGUUCUCAGGUGCCCCUUAGUGAGGCAGUGUUAUAAUUUCUGGUUUCUAGUGGGGCGGCAGAGGCACGGGGAGCCAGGACAUUUGCUCCCGCAGGACAAUCUGUGAGUGGAGGAAUGGGGUGCAUUAGCACACUCUCUCCGGGGGCCACUGGUCAUUUCUACGUGAUGGGGAGGAUCCAGGGGGAAAUGACAACACAGUCGCUCACUUAAGGUAAGACAUCCAGACCCUUGAAAAUGUCUAGGCAUCAAGAGGGCUUCUCUUUUUCUUUAAGGAUGUUUGUGAUUCUGAAGAGAAAACUUCCUGUGCACUGUGCCCAGAUUCUGCCUGAAGACCCUGGGCUGGAAUAGUUAGAUUUUUAGUCAGGAGGAGAAGGAUUAUUCAAAUGCUAUCCACUCUGCCAGGUGCUGGGACAGGUGACAGGUGUGGGGGCAUCAGGAGAGAUAUAUAAACUGCUCCCUGUGGAACUCUAGGAGUCCACCAGCCCCUUGGGGUUGGCAGUGAAAGGCGCACGGAGUGAGAAGUGGAAGAGCAGCUGAGUCAGCAGAACAGACCUACAGCCCGGGCCUUGGAGGCAGGGGACCGUAAUGGCUGCUGGGAUGUAGAGGACGAUGGCCUGGGCUGGCUCUGUCAAGAUUUCAACAGGUAUAGAGAGAGACAGCACCCAGUAGGAGGCUAAAAAUGGGCCAAGGGCAUAGACAGGAACAGUGAGGGACAGAAAGGCAGAUGGGAGCACCAGGGCAGAACAUGCGGCCAGAGGAGCAUCCUUGCUGAAGCCAGGGGAUGGUCAGAAAGGCAGAGGGGAGUCCAAGGGCAAGGUCAUGAUUUAGAAGCACAGGGCUGAGGCUGCAUUCCACUAGGGAGGAAGGGGUGAUGGUGCUGGUAGGAUGUGAAUUUGCAGUUCAGCUGGAGGGAACCUCGUGAGAAGCUGCCCCGUGCCCUGGCUGCACCUGGGGAGGAUCCAUCUUCCAGUCAGGGGAAAAGUCCCUGCUCAAUCCCACCUGCCCAAGAGCUACUGCUUUUGUCUCUAGAAUGGGUAUUCAAACAUGGGUUUGGACUUGGGGAUUCACAGUCCAGUACACUGACACAGAGACCAAAUCACCACUGCAGGGUGCACGCUCUGGCCCACCUCCCUUGCAGGUACCUUCUAAUUGAUCUCCCUCCACCCUGCCCCUUGAGGACCAGGAUGGAGUAGGUGGCUCCUUUCUCCUACUGGUAUAAAGUCCAGCCCAGAGCAAAGCUGCCCUCUCUCUCUUGCAGUAUUUAUGUUUCAGACUUCUCUGGGUUAGAGGAGGUAAUUAACUGUUUUAAUUUAAAAGCCCUCCUGCUGGGUCCCAGUCUGCGUGGGAGAAUCAAAGUAAACAAGCAAAAGGGAAGAGUGUCAUCAAAGGACCCUGCACCUCCCUUUCUUCAUCAUGGGCCAUUUGCUGCAGGUGCUGUGGAUCACCCACGCAGGGCAGGGUCCGGGGCCUUUCAUUCUUUUUAAGAGUAAAUCAAGAGUGAUGGGAUCAUAAUUUAAUGAGGCAGUCUUUCCAUGGCUCCAUAUGCGCACCAGAUAACAGACAAGUCACCUGUCCCUGGCCUGAAUGAUUUUAGAGUGAUGCUUGCAACAGGUUUUGGCUGAUGACUUUCUCUAGUUUUCAAGCCAACUUGAAAUUUGUUGCUGGAAACUAAUCCAAAUUGUUCCCUUCAUGUAAAUUUUGACAACCAAUUUUUUAAAGUGCAAAAGAUUUCUUCAUUUUUAUGGAGGAAAACAUCCAUUUCCUGGGAGGUAGCAAGUUUUGGAGAUGAGGUGGGCCACUCCCCGGCAGGCUGGCGGAGGUGGGUUAUAAACCAUAUUGCCAGCAAAGACCCCUGUCUAUGCCAGCUGCCCCAACAUCACUUGUCUAAGGUGCUGACAAAGAAUCUUGUCUCCUAAAGUGGAAGCUUAUAAAAAUUCACAGAUGGAAGUGUCUAGGUCUUGCAAUGACACCAGCCAAGCUAAUGUUAACUUGAGCUGGCUGCAGGAGCAAGUCCUUGACUUCUCGUCUCCAGAUGAAGGUGGACGCAGUGUGGCCUAGCAGCUUCCCUAAACAGGAUUCUUUAGAUUCGUUGGUGCAUUAAUUAGUCUUCCUGGCAGCCAGGAAUGAAGAAAUCAGGUAACGCAAUGUAAUGUGUGGUGGCAGAGAUCAAACACAAAAGAAACAUGUCUUGCAGGUACAUGAGACUGGACCACAAUUCUCAAAAACUGUUUUUCAGGUAGGCAAGUCUUCAAAACUAAAAGUGAAUAGAACAAAUAAAUAAAUAAAAACUCUCCAUGCAAAGUAUCACCAGUUAAGUCCAUCUUUGUAUACUUUGAUUGCUGUGACUCAAAAAUACUCUCAUUUUGUAGCAGCUGAUCAUUUAUUUUUAUUUAUUUGUUGUGACUUGUCUUGCUUCCUAAUUAUUUCCCAAAGAAAAUUGUAACUAAAAAGGCUUUUUUAAAAUAUAUAUUUUUAGUUGUAGAUGGACACAAUAUCUUUAUUUUAUUUAUUUUUAUGUGGUGCUGAGGAUAGAACCCAGGCUCUCACACAUGUGAGGUCAGUGCUCUACCACUGAGCCUCAGUCCCUGCCCAAGGCUUUAUUUCUUUUCGUUGGCAAAUUUUUCGUUGUUUUGAAGGGUAGUACUUUUCCAUCCUGUUCUUAAUUGAUUUUACUUUUUUAAAAAAUCAACAAGGAAAAGAAAAAAAAAAACACAGGAUGGGGGCAAUGAGCCCUCAAGACACUUUAUUUUUGAAUAGGCAGGUUGGGAAGCCCCUGAGGCCUGAGGUUUGGUGACAGCAGAGGGCUGGACUCUGGGACCAAGUGCGCGGGAGGCAGCUGAAGUCAGGUAUGCGGAGAAGGCUGCACAGCCUGCCAUGCCACCCAGUCCCCAACACUGGGCGCACCGGAUCUCCCGUAAUUAAAUGCUUCCCUUGAGCAAAUGCUAACAAAACAAUGCACGGUGGGCACCGCAUUUGGUUCUCCUUGCGUUUUCCACCUUUCCGUUGCCAGCUCUUCACGUCGCCUUCCCAGCAGUCCCAUUCCUUGGCCGGUGCCAGCCAGGCGCACUGCGCAACCACUUGGGUUUUCUUCCCUCUUUUGCGCCCAGUGAAUUUUCAUAAAGCGUUUAACGUGAGAACAAGCAGGUUCAUUUCCCAUGCGGUGGGCCAGCGCCCCGCAUCAUGCCGGGUUUUGGCUUCCGAGGCCCAGGCCUCGCCCAGCAGCGAGAACUCCUGCCAGAGCCCGCCUGGUACCGGCACCAGGUUCCCUGUAGCGGAACAGAUGUGCGGCCGCUCUGCGGCCUCCGGAAACGGCACAUCAAAACGAAGCUGCAGCCUUCCUGCAAGAUGGAGAUGAGAGUCUCCUGGGCUGGCAGUUCUGCCAGGAAAGGGCUCUGGACGUGCAGGAGAGGGCAAAGGCAUUCCACCUAGCCACACACCUGGCCUCGGGACCCUGAGGUCCUCCUAGUGCCAUCGGCUGUCAACCGCCUGUCACAUCACAAGGCCGGUUAGUCUUCCUCUAAUCAAGUGCAGACCCGAAAACCCAGGAUUUUCUUUUUAGUAUAGAAAGAGGCUACACACAAAAAAGUGGGAUUGUAAGGAAAGUUGAAAGGUUUUGAAUCUGGCCUUUCAUAUAUUCCCAGUAACUGCUUGAACCACGCAUGAAAAUCUGGAGCAUGGGAAGUUCCAAUGUGAUACUUAGGCGUGAGCCUUGUGACAAGGACACUGCUGCCCGGGCAGACUUUUGGGGAGAAGCUGAGCCUUGCAGCUUCCAACAUAGCCCAGGAAUGAGAAUGGCCUGUUCCUGACGGUGACAAGGUCAGUGAGCCUCGAGGAAAAGAACAGGAAUGACUCACCCUAUCACUCCCUGAUGUUAGGAAGGAGGACCAAUGGCGUGAAUGCCAGAGGGAGGCUUUGGAAUGAAAUACACAGACAAUCCUUGAUUACAUGGGGUUCCGUUCUGAUAAGCCCAUCAUGAUUUAAAAUGUCACAAGUCAAAAGUGCUCUUCACACCCUGAACCCACCAAACACCUUGGCUAGCGGCAGGGCAGGCUGUGGGGUUCCCUCUGCGCCCCCUCAGGAUCACAGGGCUCCCUGGGAGCUGGAAGCUGUGCCCUCUGCCCUCGAAGUCCCUAGGAGUAGAUAGUGCAGGUUUUCCACCAUACCUGUCUGAAGAACAGAGAGGGUAGACUUAUGUGGAGCCUCACAACCAGCCCAUGGUUAAGGCGAGCAGAACUCACUCUCAGCUCCCAGUCUCCUGAUUGACCUGCAGAUCCCCCUCUUUGCACUCUAGGAGACCAGUGGGUCACCUAUGGGCUUGGUAAACUUUUGUUUUCUGCUUAAACUCCUUUAGACAAGAUUCUGUGGUUGGCUACCAGAAUUCUUGACUAAUGCCAGGAUCACAUUCUACAUGCAAUCUGUCACCUGUCUUUUUCAAUCAACAACAGGUAGGUGCCUCUGUGUAGGGCCUGAUCUACGUAAGCAUGGGGAAGGGCUGUGGAGUACUGUUGAUGGCUGCUCCAUUAUUUACCCAAUCAAUCCCAUGAUGAUUAAGAUCUAAUUUUCUCCAUUUUUUCCCUAUAAUUCAUUCAUUCAAGAACUAUUAACUGAGUAUGUUUCUGUGCCAGGUACUAUUUUAGGUAAUGUAGAAAACCACUCCCAGUCUACAUGGAAUUCACAACGUGGGUCUGGUGUCCCCAGAGCCUAAACAAAAGGAAAGCCCAGGGAACUUGCAUCUCUUGGCACUGAGGCAGGUCCCUAAAAGGGUCAAUCUACUCCCACAUAAUGGCAACCAGCCUGUCCAAGGAUGGGAUUCAGCAUAUGCUACUCCCAUACACAGGCCCUGGGCAUUUGACAGAACAGCAGAAAAGGGAGGCCACUGUCUUCACUCCUUCCCCUUCUCCCUGGAGCAGGUCAUAAAACCUUCAUUCCAGAGGUCCUUCCUAAACUCAAGGAAAGGAGCAUCCUCGUGAUGAAAGACACCAAGGAGAAGCUGAACACACAGGCCUUGGUGACCUGGCAGUGAACCCUGUGAUAGGCAAGGAAAAGAUAUUCUUUUGUUCCAGAGCAUCAUCUAAUCACAGACCUCUUCUUUUGCAUGAAAUCAGACCUGAAAUAUCUAGAGUCUACUUUCCUCCACACACGGAAGCCUUCGGGUUGUUGGAUUCUUCAGGAAUCCAGCUGCUGUUGUUAUGGCCCAGGAGCGAUGCUGAUUUUAAAGGUGACUUGGCUCUGUGCUAUGGCUGGAACCCAUGGCCUUGCACACACCAGGCAAGCGCUCCCUCACCAAGCUUCGGCGUCGGCCCCUUACCCUCUUUAAACUGUACUGAAGAAGCAUUAGCUGAUUUAAAAGCCCAGGCAUUUUGAGAACUUUAAAGCAGUUGAAGAAAAGAGGGCAAAUCAGAAAUAGUUUCCAAUGAAAACUAUUUGUAAUGGUUAAAAAGCUAUGUGAUGUACCUAUUUUAGUAUUUAGAAAUUGACAUCUUUGAUCUAGAUAUUUGGUUUACUUGAUCUGAUGGGUUUGGGUGGGGCUUGGACUCAGGUACUUUGAAAGGCCUCCCAAUUGGUUCCAAAGAACAGUCAACCUGAGAACCCUGCCCCAGGGGUACAUGAGCAAAUGCCUGGCCCUCCAGAAGCAGCCCCCUACACUCAGGUGAGAAAGGCCUGCUGGGGGGAGAGGAAGCAGCGGUCCCCUGGGCUCCUGCCACAGAUCCUCAAACAGCACACUGCCCAUCACAUAAACCACCACGAGCUCCCUCCAUUUUACCACGUGCCAUUUCUGUUUACAACAUAUUGGCAAAUACUGGCAAUGUGCUGUCAUGAUCUUUGCUGUGGAUGCUGAUUUACCCCUGGUCCUUUGUUUGCUGCUCCCACCUGUGCACUGAAGAGAGGAACCUCAUGGAGGUGGAGCAGGAAGGCAGUCAUAUGCUGGAGGCCACUGAGGCCAGCCCUGCAUUUUACAGAUGAGCAAAUGAAGAACUGAAGAAAUUAAAUAAUCUCCCCAUUAGCUAGGUGACCUGGCGUUGCCUAUAAUCCCAGCAAUUUGGGAGACUGAGGUAGAAGGACUGCAACUUUAAGGCCAGUCUGGACAACAUAGCAAGACCCCAUCUCAGAAAAAGAA